rnacentral:rRNA from 1 species
UACGGAAGGCAGCAGUGGGGAAUAUUGCACAAUGGGCGAAAGCCUGAUGCAGCUAUGCCGCGUGUAUGAAGAAGGCCUUAGGGUUGUAAAGUACUUUCAUCGGGGAGGAAAAACAAAACUAAUAAUUUUAUUUCUUGACGUUACCCGAAAAAGAAGCACCGGCUAACUCCGUGCCAGCAGCCGCGGUAAUACGGAGGGUGCUAGCGUUAAUCAGAAUUACUGGGCGUAAAGAGCACGUAGGUGGUUUUUUUAAGUCAGAUGUGAAUCCCUGGGCUUAACCUAGGAACUGCAUUUUGAAACUGAAAUACUAGAGUAUCGUAGAGGGAGGUAGAAUUCUAGGUGUAGCGGUGAAAUGCGUAGAUAUCUGGAGGAAUACCUGUGGCGAAAGCGGCCUCCUAAACGAAUACUGACACUGAGGUGCGAAAGCGUGGGGAGGCAAACAGGGAUUAGAUACC